rnacentral:rRNA from 1 species
GCCAAGUUAUUAAGGGCACACGGUGGAUGCCUUGGCACCAGGAGCCGAUGAAGGACGUGGGAGGCUGCGAUAUGCCUCGGGGAGCUGUCAACCGAGCUGUGAUCCGAGGAUUUCCGAAUGGGGAAACCCGGCAGGGCUUGAAAUCCUGUCACCCGCGCCUGAACACAUAGGGCGUGUGGAGGGAACGCGGGGAAGUGAAACAUCUCAUUACCCGCAGGAAGAGAAAACAACCGUGAUUCCGCGAGUAGUGGCGAGCGAAAGCGGAUGAGGCUAAACCGAUUGCGUGUGAGAGCCGGCAGGCGUUGCGUGGUCGGGGUUGUGGGAUCGUUCGGAUGGGUCUGCCGAUCCGUCGAGGAGUGAGAAAGUGCUGUGUUAGUCGAAGGCCAUGCGAAUGGGUCACCAUAGCGGGUAACAGUCCCGUAGACGAAAACAUGGUACCUCCUGAGCGUUAUCCCAAGUAGCACGUAGCCCGUGAAAGUCCGUGUGAAUCUGGCGGGACCACCCGCUAAGCCUAAAUACUCCCUGGUGACCGAUAGCGGACUAGUACCGUGAGGGAAAGGUGAAAAGUACCCCGGGAGGGGAGUGAAAUAGUACCUGAAACCGUGUGCUUACAAUCCGUGGGAGCGGGGGCUUUGCCUCUGUGACCGCGUGCCUUUUGAAGAAUGAGCCUGCGAGUUUGCGAUGUGUGGCGAGGUUAACCUGUUGUGGGGUAGCCGUAGCGAAAGCGAGUCCGAAGAGGGCGUAUGAGUCGCAUGUCCAAGACCCGAAGCCGAGUGAUCUAUCCAUGGCCAGGUUGAAGCGCGGGUAAGACCGUGUGGAGGACCGAACCCACCAGGGUUGAAAACCUGGGGGAUGAGCUGUGGAUAGGGGUGAAAGGCCAAUCAAACUCGGUGAUAGCUGGUUCUCCCCGAAAUGCAUUUAGGUGCAGCGUUACGUGUUUCUUGCCGGAGGUAGAGCACUGGAUGGCCUAGGGGGCCUACAAGCUUACUGAAGUCAGCCAAACUCCGAAUGCCGGUAAGUGAAGCGUGGCAGUGAGACUGCGGGGGAUAAGCUUCGUAGUCGAGAGGGAAACAGCCCAGAUCGCCAGCUAAGGCCCCUAAGCGUGCGCUAAGUGGGAAAGGAUGUGGAGUCGCGGAGACAACCAGGAGGUUGGCUUAGAAGCAGCCACCCUUGAAAGAGUGCGUAAUAGCUCACUGGUCAAGUGAUUCCGCGCCGACAAUGUAGCGGGGCUCAAGCGCACCGCCGAAGCUGCGGCAUAUGCACGGUGUUUGGCCUUCUUCUUCGGGAGGGGGUCCAGGCGUGUGUAUGGGUAGGGGAGCGUCGUGUAGCGAGUGAAGCGGCAGGGUGACCUAGCCGUGGACGCUACGCGAGUGAGAAUGCAGGCAUGAGUAGCGAAAGACGGGUGAGAAACCCGUCCGCCGGAUGACCAAGGGUUCCUGGGGCAGGCUAAUCCGCCCAGGGUGAGUCGGGACCUAAGGCGAGGCCGACAGGCGUAGUCGAUGGACAACGGGUUGAUAUUCCCGUACCGGCGUUGAUGCGACCAUGCUGAACCUGGUUCGUGCUAACCGUCCG